CGGCCGGCGACAGUCAGUUUAAAACAUGGAGUCAGAGAAAACGGCGUUGCAACGUAAAGUCGGAGUAUAUAUGAUCCCUGCGUGACUUUUAAGGAUCUGUUGGGCAAGUCCGCAACUUUAAAAAGUUUGUAAGAUGGAGUAGAGUGCGAUGGAGUACCAACUCCCUACGCUGCUUGUAAUACGUGCAAAGUCAUAGUCAAAUAUGCACCUGACUCCGGGACAAUUAGCAUGUCGAGACACACUUGUAGCAGCAGAUCGCUUGGUAAUGAAGUGCAGCGAGAAGUUCCAGAAAUUGUGAAGAUCAGGCUCAGGAACACGAUGGCUCGCAUGUGGAGGCAAGAUUUGAGACCUUUUGUUUUUAUAGAAGGACAAGAAUUCAUCGACGUGGCGAAGGACUUGCUUCUCAUCGGUGCGACUUGCAUUGAGAUCGAAGGAGUCUUAGCACGGAGUGUUUCUCGCCAUCUCGAGAUGGAUUAUGAAAAAAUAAAGAAAUUUGUAAUAGAACGGCUCCAACAGGGCCCCUGUCAAGUGCUGAGCCUCCUGAUUCUUCCAUGGUAUCCAUGCCCCCCCAGCACACCUGGAUGGUAGGUGGAAAUAUCUGGACCUGUGGAAAACAUGCAAAUGCCACCCACACAUAGUGGAGGACGGAUUCCAGUCCCCUACUCUGGAUAUGUGGGACAACCGGGUGAGCAACCCUCACAUUCGUAUAUUUUAAAUCGAUAAGGUCAUCUAAAAUACUGUGACCAUUAUGACACUAAGAUGAUAUAGAAUGCUUCAAAAUUCAUUCACCCAUAAAGUUGGUUCUUCCAAUGAUUAUUAUUGCCUGGAGGAGCUGGAUUUAUUCAAUAGACGUGUCAGCAAAUCAAAGCUAACCCCACACACCAGAUGUGUUUGCAUUAAACUCAUCAGAUAUUUAUAUCCAGAUUCAUAUUAAUGGCACCAAAUAAAUUAUUUAGUUUUUUUUCCAGUUCUCUUGAGACCUAUUGAAGUUCAAUCCCACACACUUGUUGUGAUGUAGCGUGGAAUUAAUCAUUUUAACCAGUGACUUGCCAACAACAGCCCACUGGAAUAACACCUCUUCUCCCUCUCAGAUUUAUGUAUACUCUGUAUGUAUUUCUACACUAUUGCUGCUGCUUGUGCAAUUUGUAUGCAUGUAUACAUGCAUGUAUAUGUAUACAUGUACAUACAUUUUUAAUAUGCAUGGAUGUGGUUUGUAUAAAGGCAGGUGUAUAUAUUGUUAAUUUAUUCAAAAUAUUUUGUUUGUUGGAUGGAUGACUGUCAGAAGUGUGAAUGAGUAGUGGGAAACAUUAUUAUUAUUAUUAUUAUUAUUAUUAUUAUUCAGCAACUUUAAUUUGCGUUGAAAAUUGUGAAAAUACAUUUCAAUAAUUUCAUGAAAGUAAAGUCAUUUGAAGGAUAUUUUGUGCAUGAAUGAAAAUGAUAAAGAAAGAGAUGAUGUAAAACAUAUGUCCUGGUAGUGUUUCUCUGUUCUGUAAUGGUUGCUUAGUUGCAGCUGAAAUGAAAGGUUGUGCAAAUGUAUAUUUUUUUUAACCAAGACAAUCUAAUUUUAAAUAAUUUUGAAACACUACGUCUUCAUAAAUAAUGGAUGGUGUGUGCAUGUGAAGUGGCAACAGAUGGUAUACAAAUCCAAAAAAAGAGAGUAUGGGACGAGCCUGUGUGCCACUUUCAAGCCCAUUAAUAUUCUUGUCUUACGCUGCCCUUUCAUGGGGGCUGAGAUGGGACUACUUGGAUAACCGGAGUACAUGGCAUUGGCUGCAAUCCCCUGAAUUGCCGGAAACCUGACCUGCAAGCUAAGCCGCUUCUAAUCUCCUUUAUGGGAGACUGGGAACAGAACCUGCAGCUGGGCGAUCAUUAGCACAAGAAUAGAGCAAGGACCAGCAGGGUGGGACCCAGCGAAAUGCCAACAGGAUCCCAUUCCAGGUCCUCUUGCAGGGCCUCCUCUGGAACACUCUCCACAGAUGCUGCCAGAGAACUGGAAUCCAGCAGGCUAGACAUAGAACCACCAAAUGGUCAUUUUUGGACAGCGAGCCAGUGGAGAAGACCAGCUGCACAUAGUGAAUGUGUCUGUAAACUUAUGUAAAUACCAGUGUACAGAAAUCUUAUAUAUUUUUUUGUCUAUUUAGAAUGAUUGUAUAAAAUAAAGUUAUUUUAUAUUUGGAAAAUC